GCAUGGGGUAGACGUCAUUUGACUUGCUGAUUCAGAUGGGACACGAUAAGCCGGAAGACGUCCACUGCUGGACAAAGGCCUCCCUCAAAGAUCUCUAUGACGAUCGGUCCUGAUAUGCCCUCAUCCAACCUAUUCCGGUCACCAGAUUGUCGGUCCAUCUUGUGCGGGGCGUACCAACUCUACGUCUUUCGGUACGUGGUCGAGCUAGCCACUGCCACUUCAGUUUCGCAGCCACCUGAGCUAUAUCCGAUUUAAGUUAAGGACAAUCGGGUAAGAGGUUCGCGUGAUGGAAAGUGGUGAGACAAGCGUCCAUG